AUGGUGGUCGACGUUCUUGCUGCCAUCCUUAACAAGGCUAAGGCCGCGGGACACAUCCACGGUGUUGCUCCCUACCUCAUUGGAUCAGGUGGAGUAUCACUCUUGCAGUACGCCGAUGACACCAUUAUCAUGGUGUCCGGCGUCUCGAAGGACAUCGCAAACCUAAAGUUCCUCCUGCUAUGUUUCCAACAUAUGUUGGGCCUCAUGAUCAACUUUGACAAGAGUGCAGUGAUGGUGAUGGGAUACUCGCAUGCUGAAUCUCAGGACAUUGCCGAUCGACUUAACUACCAACUGGGGACCUUCCCCAUGACUUAUCUGGGGAUCCCCAUUAGUGACUCGCGCCUCUCCAUCGCAGGCCUUUGGCCAACGAUGACCAAACUCCAACGACGCAGAGCCCUGGCAGGGCAGAUGGUUGUCAAAGGCGGCAUGGGCGAUACUUAUUAA
rnacentral:rRNA from 1 species